rnacentral:rRNA from 1 species
GACGAACGCUGGCGGCGUGCUUAACACAUGCAAGUCGAACGGAAAGGCCCUGCUUUUGUGGGGUGCUCGAGUGGCGAACGGGUGAGUAACACGUGAGUAACCUGCCCUUGACUUUGGGAUAACUUCAGGAAACUGGGGCUAAUACCGGAUAGGAGCUCCUGCUGCAUGGUGGGGGUUGGAAAGUUUCGGCGGCUGGGGAUGGACUCGCGGCUUAUCAGCUUGUUGGUGGGGUAGUGGCUUACCAAGGCUUUGACGGGUAGCCGGCCUGAGAGGGUGACCGGCCACAUUGGGACUGAGAUACGGCCCAGACUCCUACGGGAGGCAGCAGUGGGGAAUAUUGCACAAUGGGCGGAAGCCUGAUGCAGCAACGCCGCGUGCGGGAUGACGGCCUUCGGGUUGUAAACCGCUUCCGCCUGUGACGAAGCGUGAGUGACGGUAAUGGGUAAAGAAGCACCGGCUAACUACGUGCCAGCAGCCGCGGUGAUACGUAGGGUGCGAGCGUUGUCCGGAUUUAUUGGGCGUAAAGGGCUCGUAGGUGGUUGAUCGCGUCGGAAGUGUAAUCUUGGGGCUUAACCCUGAGCGUGCUUUCGAUACGGGUUGACUUGAGGAAGGUAGGGGAGAAUGGAAUUCCCGGUGGAGCGGUGGAAUGCGCAGAUAUCAGGAGGAACACCAGUGGCGAAGGCGGUUCUCUGGGCCUUUCCUGACGCUGAGGAGCGAAAGCGUGGGGAGCGAACAGGCUUAGAUACCCUGGUAGUCCACGCUGUAAACGGUGGGUACUAGGUGUGGGGUCCAUUCCACGGGUUCCGUGCCGUAGCUAACGCUUUAAGUACCCCGCCUGGGGAGUACGGCCGCAAGGCUAAAACUCAAAGGAAUUGACGGGGCCCCGCACAAGCGGCGGAGCAUGCGGAUUAAUUCGAUGCAACGCGUAGAACCUUACCUGGGUUUGACAUGGAUCGGGAGUGCUCAGAGAUGGGUGUGCCUCUUUUGGGGUCGGUUCACAGGUGGUGCAUGGCUGUCGUCAGCUCGUGUCGUGAGAUGUUGGGUUAAGUCCCGCAACGAGCGCAACCCUUGUUCACUGUUGCCAGCACGUUAUGGUGGGGACUCAGUGGAGACCGCCGGGGUCAACUCGGAGGAAGGUGGGGAUGACGUCAAGUCAUCAUGCCCCUUAUGUCCAGGGCUUCACGCAUGCUACAAUGGCUGGUACAGAGAGUGGCGAGCCUGUGAGGGUGAGCGAAUCUCGGAAAGCCGGUCUCGGUUCGGAUUGGGGUCUGCAACUCGACCUCAUGAAGUCGGAGUCGCUAGUAAUCGCAGAUCAGCAACGCUGCGGUGAAUACGUUCCCGGG